UUUUGGAAAGAGGUCCAGUUGUUUAUUAACGAUAUCUUGCACAUUCCAUUUACAGAGAAUAUGUCUUGGGCCUUAUGGAAUUACUAUCCUCCCUCAGUGACUACUAAGCCAGCAGCGGGUGUGCGCCACCUAUUGGUCAAAAUAGCAGCAGUGGCUAACAAAAUAUGAAUCCAAUCUGACCGUAUUUCCUUUUCUUGUAUGUUUCCAAGACUUGCCUAUCAAAUGGACUGGGUUGAGUGUUCAUUGGAUGCAGAAUUAAGAGCGUCCAAAUUUUUUGAUAUCUGGCUGGCCUAUAUAAUUAUGCUGUCUUCUGUUGAGAAAGAACAUGUUAGAAAGAUUGUUCGCCUUACCACAUGGUAUAACAUGGCUGUUCUGGAAGGAAAUGCUCCCCCUUUCUGAUUAGCUCUUUCCGUUUUUUUUUUUUAAAUUGUAUUUGCUCCACGGCUGCCCUUUCUCUUGUUCAUUACCUUUUAUCCUUGCUAUCAUUAACUAUUUUUUAUUACUAGUGACAUUUUCCUUCUCAAUGCUCUGUUUUCCUUAGCAGGCUGCUUAUGUCUCCUUGCCAUGCUGUACAAUACUGUGUCAUUUGAGUGCCUUGUAAUGUUUACUUUUUCUCAAUAAAAAUAUAUAUAUAAAAAAAAUGCUUAAUGAUGUGACGCGUGUGCUUAAGCAAAGGUGGCGGAUGAGGUGAAACAGGCACGCAGUACCAGUGGUGGGUGUCAAAUCCCAGUUCACUACACUUCCUAUGAAGAGGAACUGAAGAAGUCCUGCCUAGAGUCCACGUUGAGGACCUUGAUAGGCCACCAGCCCAGGCACUAUCUGAAAACAUAGAUUACUUACCUAUAAUGUAUAGGUUGUAGGGCCAUCACGUCCAUGACCACCCAUACCACCAGUUGAUGAGGGUGAAGAUGCAGCUGCUGACCAAGUGCUGGUGUUGGCACCCAUCGACACGCUUGACCUCUCAGAUGUGAUACCCAGCAGCAACACCAAACAGCAGGACCAAGCACACCUACACCACACCACACUCCAUCUGUGGAGGAAUUUACACUGUCAUUGGAGUCUUUUAGGAACUCACAGUUGCAAUUCAUGCAGAGGCAAACGGAACAAAUAUAGAGUUGCAGAUACAGAGCUUUAACCAAAAUAUAACGGGCCAACUACAAAAUCUAAACCAAGAUAUUCAGCCCAAACUCAUGACCUGCUCAAUGUACACACUGAAUUGGUGGCACAGAGGCUUAAGGUGCAUACACAAGGUGAGAUUUUGACUAAAUGCCAAUUUUGACUAUGUAAUUUCCCUUGAACUCCCCGGAGCCCAGAACCACCGAUAUUGACUAUACACAUGGUGCGAUUUUGACUCUACAAUUUUGCGUAUAGUAGAAACUAGAUUGUACACUAGUCAAAAUUGCCUUGCCUGCACAGUCUAUUUUUUCUUGGGAUAACCACCCCGCGGGAGCAGGCAUCGCAACCUGUAUACACAUUGUGUUAUUUGUGCUAACUUUUCUUACGAUUUUGACUAUAUAGGGUAGGGACAGUGAUAAAGCAGGCCAAAAUGACCCAGUCCAUUUGAUGUAAAGUUACUGUAAUUUUGUUAUUUUUCAUUUUUUGUAAAUGACAUAAUGUUGUAAUGGUGUGUAUUCAAUACACAGAUCCAAAAACUUGGCAUACUUUUCUGCAGAAACUGAUACCACUUUCAGACAGAAAAAUCUCAAAUUCCUGUUUUUUUUCCGGUUUUGUGAAGCCGGGAAAAACCCGGAUUACAGUUCCUAACCCCUUUUCACACAACACAUUUAACCCGGAUUAUUCCCGGGUCGACCCCUUUCAGACAGAACCCAUGUCAGCCCUGCAAUAGACUAGUGUGUCAUAAGAAAUGGACUGUUUUUAUGGCACACAGAGAUGAGGUCAUGAAAAGUGGGUGGUGACCGCUCACAGCAUUAACCAUGCCAGACGAGUUACUGCUGAGUAGCCCGGAGUUCCUGAGUUCUUACUGUUUUUUGCUGUUCACACAGCAUAUAAGAGUCUGAUGCAGCUGCUUGCACUGUGCUACCUGGCACAGUCUUAUGCCAAGAGGAGAAGGCAGCUCCCUUAUCUCUUCCUCCUUAAAUUGCGCCAUGCUGUCUCUCUCAUCCAUCUCCCCUGCAGCACAAUUGUGACCUCAGACGCCAGUGCCACGCCCACUCAGCCAAUCAGAGAGACCCUGCUGCUCAGCCAAUUGCGAGUGGCACGCCAGUUCAGCCAAUCAGCGCUGUUAACCGUGACCCAUUUCUAAAAUCCCGGGUCGGACCCUUUCAGACAGCCGGCAACCCGUGUACGAUCCAGGAAAAACCCAGGUAGAAACCUGGGUUGAAGUCCCGGGAAUUCAGUCCCGUGUUGACCCUUUCAGACAGAAAAAAAUCCGGGGUCGACCCUUCCAGAGCCGGGAAAUUACCGGGUUCUUUUCUCUGUCUGAAAAGGGUAUGACAUAUGGUAUUUCAGUAAAAAUUUCUAUGUCCGACAAAUAAUGUGUUUUGGUAUUCUUUAAUAUAUGCACAACAAAGUGUAAAAUUAUUAGCUGGUGAAAUGUUUGAAAUACAAAUUCAAUAAAAAAAAAAGCAAGUUUA